ensembl:piRNA 21ur-1299 ncRNA
UUAGUUGAUUUCCUAGUUGAU